rnacentral:rRNA from 1 species
UACGUAGGGUGCAAGCGUUGUCCGGAAUUAUUGGGCGUAAAGAGCUCGUAGGCGGUCUGUCGCGUCUGCUGUGAAAACUCGGGGCUUAACCCCGGGCCUGCAGUGGGUACGGGCAGACUAGAGUGCGGUAGGGGAGACUGGAAUUCCGUGGUGUAGCGGUGAAAUGCGCAGAUAUCAGGAGGAACACCGGUGGCGAAGGCGGGUCUCUGGGCCGUAACUGACGCUGAGGAGCGAAAGCGUGGGGAGCGAACAGG